rnacentral:rRNA from 1 species
GUUGCGGACAGUGUCUGGUGGGUAGUUUGACUGGGGCGGUCUCCUCCUAAAGAGUAACGGAGGAGCACGAAGGUUGGCUAAUCCUGGUCGGACAUCAGGAGGUUAGUGCAAUGGCAUAAGCCAGCUUGACUGCGAGCGUGACGGCGCGAGCAGGUGCGAAAGCAGGUCAUAGUGAUCCGGUGGUUCUGAAUGGAAGGGCCAUCGCUCAACGGAUAAAAGGUACUCCGGGGAUAACAGGCUGAUACCGCCCAAGAGUUCAUAUCGACGGCGGUGUUUGGCACCUCGAUGUCGGCUCAUCACAUCCUGGGGCUGAAGUAGGUCCCAAGGGUAUGGCUGUUCGCCAUUUAAAGUGGUACGCGAGCUGGGUUUAGAACGUCGUGAGACAGUUCGGUCCCUAUCUGCCGUGGGCGCUGGAGAACUGAGGGGGGCUGCUCCUAGUACGAGAGGACCGGAGUGGACGCAUCACUGGUGUUCGGGUUGUCAUGCCAAUGGCAUUGCCCGGUAGCUAAAUGCGGAAAAGAUAAGUGCUGAAAGCAUCUAAGCACGAAACUUGCCCCAAGAUGAGUUCUCCCUGACUCCUUGAGAGUCCUGAAGGAACGUUGAAGACGACGACGUUGAUAGGCCGGGUGUGUAAGCGUAGCGAUACGUUGAGCUAACCGGUACUAAUGAACCGUGAGGCUUAACCUUACAACGCCGAAG